GAUGAACGCUAGCGGCAGGCUUAAUACAUGCAAGUCGAGGGAGAAUGGGGCUUCGGCCCCAGGGAACCGGCGCACGGGUGCGUAACGCGUACACAACAUACCUUAUACUGGAGUAUAGCCUCGGGAAACUGGGAGUAAUCCUCCAUAACAUUAUCGGGUGGCAUCACCUGGUAAUUAAAGCUCAGGCGGUAUAAGAUUGGUGUGCGUAUGAUUAGCUAGUUGGUAGGGUAACGGCCUACCAAGGCGACGAUCAUUAGCUGGCGUGAGAGCGCGACCAGCCACACUGGAACUGAGACACGGUUCAGACUCCUACGGGAGGCAGCAGUAGGGAAUAUUGGACAAUGGGCGAAAGCCUGAUCCAGCCAUGCCGCGUGAUGGAUGAAGGCCCUCUGGGUUGUAAACAUCUUUUAUCAGGGAAGAAACACCCCGUUUCUACGGGAUUUGACGGUACCUGAUGAAUAAGCACCGGCUAACUCCGUGCCAGCAGCCGCGGUAA
rnacentral:rRNA from 1 species